GACAGAGGGUGCAAACGUUGUUCGGAAUUACUGGGCGUAAAGCGAGUGUAGGCGGUCUCAUAAGUCGGGUGUGAAAGCCCUGGGCUCAACCCAGGAAGUGCACUCGAUACUGCGAGGCUAGAGUAUCGGAGAGGUUGGUGGAAUUCUCGGUGUAGAGGUGAAAUUCGUAGAUAUCGAGAGGAACACCGGUGGCGAAGGCGGCCAACUGGACGAAUACUGACGC
rnacentral:rRNA from 1 species